rnacentral:lncRNA from 1 species
CCCUACCUAGCUCCGCCUCUGCUUCCAAUUAUAAGAUUGUGAGUUUGAGUCACCAAGAGAAUUAAAAGAGUGAGCGAUCCUGAGAAGAGGUGAAAAAAGUAGUUUACAAAUUCUAGCACCACUUUUUAAAUAGAUGGAAAGUGAAAACAAAAGAAUCAUUUUGUUUAGUAUUUUCAUCCAAAUUUAAGAGAAGGAAAUAGGAAAUUACUUCAAAUACCCCGAAACUCCACUUUGAUAAGUACACGACAGCUAAAAGUACAUGUCCAUGAAGCUACAAAUUAGAAAGAAAAAAGUGAAUUAGACGGCCCUAAUUUAUGGAUGACUUUAAAAGAAGAAUCUAACAAAAAGAAAUUGGAUUUUACCUUGUAAUUCUAUUCAUUAAUUCCAAUGGAAAAUUGUUGAAAUGAAAGGACUCUACCACAAUCAUUAUGGUUAUCC